rnacentral:rRNA from 1 species
GGGGAAUUUUUCGCAAUGGGGGAAACCCUGACGAAGCAACGCCGCGUGGAGGAUGAAGGCCUUCGGGUCGUAAACUCCUGUCGACCGGGACGAACGUAGUCGGGUCCAAUACACCCGGCUAUCGACUGUACCGGUAAAGGAAGCUCCGGCUAACUCUGUGCCAGCAGCCGCGGUAAUACAGAGGGAGCAAGCGUUGUCCGGAGUUACUGGGCGUAAAGCGCACGCAGGCGGCACGGCAAGUGUGGUGUGAAACCCGCCGGCUUAACCGGUGGACGCCAUCGCAGACUGCCGCGCUCGAGCCGUUCAGAGGUCCCUCGAAUUGCCGGUGUAGUGGUGAAAUGCGUAGAGAUCGGCAGGAAGACCCACGGGGAAGCCAGGGGACUGGGAACGUGCUGACGCUCAGGUGCGAGAGCGUGGGGAGCGAA